rnacentral:rRNA from 1 species
AUUAAAGAGUUCUAUAACUCCCAAACCCAUGUGAACAUACCUAACGUUGCCUCGGCAGGUCGCACCUACCUUGUAGCACCCUACCCUGUAGGGCCUACCCGGGAGGUGCGGGUAAGCCUGCCGGCGGCCCACCAAACUCUGUUUGAUAUUGAAUUCUGAACCUAUAACUAAAUAAGUUAAAACUUUCAACAACGGAUCUCUUGGUUCUGGCAUCGAUGAAGAACGCAGCGAAAUGCGAUAAGUAAUGUGAAUUGCAGAAUUCAGUGAAUCAUCGAAUCUUUGAACGCAUAUUGCGCCCAUUAGUAUUCUAGUGGGCAGGACCGUUCGAGCGUCAUUUCAACCCUUAAGCCUUCGUUGCUUAGUGUUGGGAGCCUACGGCAACGUAGCUCCUCAAAGUUAGUGGCGGAGUUAGUUCACACUCUAGACGUAGUAAUUUUUUAUCUCGCCUAUUAGUUGGACUAAUCCCCUGCCGUAAAACCCCCAAUUUAUCAAGGUUGACCUCGAAUCGGUUCAGACAAACUCGCUAAAUUGAAGCAUCUUAGUCAGCGAAGGAAAAGAAACCAACAGGGAUUGCCCUAGUAACGGCGAGUGAAGCGGCAACAGCUCAAAUUUGAAAU